GAGACGCGACGACCCGCUGCGAGAGUGCUUAUCACGACGGGAAUCCGCGGCGACGACCGAUCAUCUGUCUGUGGAAGACGAUGGUGAAUGACGCGCACAUACUGCACUCUCGAUAUUUACAAUGCACGCUAUGUAUACGUUGUUUUCUUUUUCGCACGCGUGCGUCUCCGCUUUCUCCCGCACAGGAGUGGAAUGUCGUGCAGUGCAGUGUGAUGCCUGUGCAAGUCUGUUCUUCUUCCCCCAAUUGUCACCGCUGGUUUGCGAUUCGACGAAUCCUGCCCUGCGAGAUGCGAGUCUGUACUACUACCGCACGUACUUUUCUGAGCGCGAGCUUUUUGCAUUUCAAAUGCAUUUUAAAUGUAGACAACGUGAAUUCUGAUGAAGAAAUUCUGUCCAAUACGCAGGAAGCUGAAAGUCGAGCUUCUGGAUCCUGGUCCCAGCACUCUUCCAUGGUUUCGCACAUUGCUGCCAGGCCCUGAAAUAAAAUGAUUCGUUAAUUUUAAUAAAGUUCAAUGCAAAAUCACGAUUCACAAA